GUUAUAUUUUUGUAUUUUGUUUUUUGUUCAGGUCCAAAAUCAAAUUUGACUAAUUCAAGGAAUUAAAGUUUCAUUGCAUCUAAAUAAGGUAAAGUGUACUUUGUUUAAUAUUAUUAUCUUAUUAUUUGCAUAAAUUUUCUUUUUCAAUAAUAGAAACGAAACAAAAAACUUAAACAAAAUUCCACUAUGGCUCCUCUAAUCCUUUUCGUGCUCUUUCGACUCCUUUGCUCGCUCUGUGAAGUAGAGAUGGAAAGUUUUCGAUAUUUAUCGAUCAUCGAUCAUCUUUAAUGCUCUCACAGUUGGUGUUCCUUAUCCGAAUCCAAAUACAAUUAAAACUCACCUUGAACCGCUCGGCACAGCAGGGCAUGGCCGCAAAGAUAUCAUAUGC